rnacentral:rRNA from 1 species
CCUACGGGUGGCAGCAGUGGGGAAUAUUGGGCAAUGGGCGCAAGCCUGACCCAGCAACGCCGCGUGAAGGAAGAAGGCUUUCGGGUUGUAAACCUCUUUUAUCAGGGACGAAGCAAGUGACGGUACCUGAUGAAUAAGCCACGGCUAACUACGUGCCAGCAGCCGCGGUAAUACGUAGGUGGCAAGCGUUAUCCGGUUUUACUGGGGUUAAAGGGUGCGUAGGCGGUCCGUUAAGUCAGCGGGAAAAUUGCGGGGCUCAACCCCGUCGAGCCGUUGAAACUGGCAGACUUGAGUGGGCGAGAGGUACGCGGAAUGCGCGGUGUAGCGGUGAAAUGCGUAGAUAUCGCGCAGAACACCGAUGGCGAAGGCAGCGUACCGGCGCCAGACUGACGCUGAGGCACGAAAGCGUGGGGAUCGAACAGGAUUAGAUACCCGUGUAGUC